ensembl:lncRNA
AAAGGUGCUAAGGCCGGAAGUGUUCGGAAAGAGGAAGUUGAGAGUUGUGAGUCAGAGACAAGAAAUUGGUGUGAAGACAGAGAUACACUCAGAGAAACAAGGCAUGAACAAAUUAGAGUAAGUAUGGUGAAGUGGAAAAAAGGACAGAGGUAAAAAACAAACAACGGAUGAAACUGAACUGGAAAACACAACAAAAAGGCAACAAGUGAAGAGGAAAGGAGAAGGCUGAACGUUGCGACAGAUGACAGAGUCGGAUAUGAGAAAACGCCGUGUCGGCACUCUUCUGGUCCUCAUGCUGAUACAGACAGGAGGCGAUUGUUCGAGGUGGAGACUUAUCUGACAGACCAGCACACAGACUCGGAGGAGGUCACAGAGGAGCCACCCCAUCAACCCCCCCUUCCCUCACCUCCUCCCCUCCAGCUCCAGGGUUUUGACCCCUCUAAGCUGUACACUAAGAUCAAGCAGGAUCUGCUGUAUGGACGACUGUGGAAGGCCUACCAGGGGACAGCUAAGGCCUGGGACCCCACAACACAGCAGGGACCACACCAGCAAGGGCCACAACAAGGGGCAGAACUAGGGCCACAAAAGGUCUAUUUUCUUCUGGGGGAUCAUCGGGUGUCACAGAGAGAGGAACCAGAAGAACCAGAACUAGAACCUAAUCUAGAACAAGAACAAGACCCUCAACCAACCCUUGAAGGAACCGUGGAACCACAGACUGAGCCUGAACCUAUCCAUCCAUUAGCCCUGGAACCUGGAACACAGAUGGAGGUUCAAGAACCAGAAUGUAAUUUAGAACUAGAACCCAACUUCCCAUCAACCCUUUCUGCACGGAGGGGGGAACUGGAAUCAGACAUAGGAACAGAGAAAGAGGAAAUUGAAGAAACCAGAGACUAACCCUUCAGCGAGGAGGUUCAUGAAGGGAAGGUGUGUUGUGUUGUUGUGUGUGUGUGCGGGCCGUGCGUGUGUGCGUGUGUACGUGUGUGUUGGGAGGAAUAAUGCACUGUUGACAUUGGGUGAAUAACCCUGACCUCCUAAGGUUAGCUGUCAAUCAAUACGAUUAAUAAUUAUUGCCCCAGUGGGAAAUUUGUAGUGAAAAUUAAACUCACAGGUAAUCGCCAUGGUUUUUUGUUUACUGUGAACAUCGUACAUGUGGUUAGACGUCUCGGCCAUCACUCAGACGUUUCUCUCUCUCACACACACACACACACACACAGACAGACAGACAGACAGACAGACAGACAGACAGACAGACAGACAGACAGACAGACAGACAGACAGACAGACAGACAGACAGACAGACAGACAGACAGACAGACAGACAGACAGACAGACAGACAGACAGACAGACAGACAGACAGACACCACACACACACUGGUCAAUGGGGUUUGAAGUCUCGGCCAUCGCUCAGAUGUUUCUCACAUUUGAGCUCACAACAGUGUGGCAUACAGUAACUGUAUGAUGUGCGGUGUGAAUAGAACAUUAUGCUUUUGAAUAUAGUAAUGGGUUGAAUGACCUUUAGAUUCUAAAAAAGAGCUUUUAUAGCCAACUUUAUAGCCAACACUGUAAGGAACAAGACAGUGAGUGAUUUUUAUUUUGUGUAUCUGGUUUUGUGAUUGCAAUUUCUGUAUAUAAUGUUUAUUUCUUUGUUUCAAUUAAAAAUCAGACUAGCAAAA